UCCCUGGUGGUUCUGUGGUUAGGACUUGGUACUUUCAUUGCCAGGGCCCCAGUUUCGAUUCCUGGUUAGGGAA